rnacentral:tRNA from 1 species
GCCCCUUAGCUCAGUGGUUAGAGCAGUCGACUCAUAAUCGAUUGGUCCCCAGUUCAAGUCUGGGAGGGCACCA